rnacentral:rRNA from 1 species
GACGAACGCUGGCGGCGUGCCUAAUACAUGCAAGUAGAACGCAGUUGCGAACGGGUGAGUAAAGCGUAGGUAACUGCCUGGUAGCGGGGGAUAACUAUUGGAAACGAUAGCUAAUACCGCAUACUACCAGAUGGACCUGCGUUGUAUUAGCUAGUUGGUGGGGUAACGGCUCACCAAGGCAACGAUACAUAGCCGACCUGAGUGGGUGAUCGGCCACCCUGGAACUGAGACACGGUCCAGACUCCUACGUGAGGCAGCAGUGGGGAAUAUUGCACAAUGGGCGCAAGCCUGAUGCAGCCAUGCCGCGUGUGUGAAGAAGGCCUUCGGGUUGUAAAGCACUUUCAGCGGGGAGGCGUUACCCGCAGAAGAAGCACCGGCUAACUCCGUGCCAGCAGCCGCGGUAAUAC